CUGGAAAUGAGCAGCCAGGCCAGGAUGCACAGUUCACAGAAAAUAGAACAUUAACGACGUCUGCUGUGUUGUAUCUCCAAGCAGGGAAACAACUCAUUGGUCAGAACUACUUGCCUGGUUCAACCACAGGGCUCUGUGGGGGACAGGGCAGUGAAAAGGACCUUUCACAGAGAUUACUCAUAAGAAACAAGGCUAAGUCUCCCCAGAGGAAAACUACAAGGGUCCUACCGCCGGGGUAGUGACGAGCACAUGCACGCGUGAGUCUGGUUGCUCUCAUCUUUGAAUUCUCUGCUGAAAUAGCACGUCCUCACAGGGAACUUGCCCAACCACCCUCUUCAAAGCAGAAGCCCCAGGUUCAUUUCUGACCUAGCAUCCCAUUUAUUUUCUUCAGAACAUGUGCUAUAAUAUGUAAAUAGCUUCUUUAUUGUUCACUGUUAAAUUUUUCUAUCUAGAAUGAAAUGUGUUUAUUGCAGGAAAAUGGAAUCUUGUAAGAACGGUUUGUCCAGAUCACUUCGGGAUCCCCAGCACCUGGCACGUGGUGGCACCCACUAGCUUCUCAAUGAAAGCUUGUUCAAUAAAUGAAUGACCCCCACUAUUGGUGAGAGUGUC
rnacentral:lncRNA from 1 species